CAGCAGCCGCGGGAAUACGGAGGGUGCAAGCGUUAUCCGGAUUUAUUGGGUUUAAAGGGUCCGUAGGCGGAUCUGUAAGUCAGUGGUGAAAUCUCACAGCUUAACUGUGAAACUGCCAUUGAUACUGCAGGUCUUGAGUAAAUUUGAAGUGGCUGGAAUAAGUAGUGUAGCGGUGAAAUGCAUAGAUAUUACUUAGAACACCAAUUGCGAAGGCAGGUCACUAAGAUUUAACUGACGCUGAUGGACGAAAGCGUGGGGAGCGAACAGGAUUAGAUACCCGGGUAGUCCCUGUCUCUUAUAU
rnacentral:rRNA from 1 species